GACGAACGCUGGCGGCGUGCUUAACACAUGCAAGUCGAACGGGCCCGCUCUCUUUUUUGGGGGUGGGUUGAGUGGCGAACGGGUGAGUAUCACGUGAGUAACCUGCCCCCUGCUCCUGGAUAACUGCUUGAAAGGGCGGCUAAUACGGGGUGUGCCGGCUGGUCCGCAUGGGCCUGGUCGGGAUAGUUUCAUCUUCGGGUGUUUCGGUGGGGGAUGGGCCCGCGGCCUAUCAGCUUGUUGGUGGGGUGAUGGCCCACCAAGGCGGUGACGGGUAGCCGGCCUGAGAGGGUGGGCGGCCACACUGGGACUGAGACACGGCCCAGACUCCUGCGGGAGGCAGCAGUGGGGGGUAUUGCACAAUGGGCGGAAGCCUGAUGCAGCGACGUCGCGUGAGGGAUGGAGGCCUUCGGGUUGUGAACCUCUUUCUCCGGUGGUGAAGGCCCUGUCCGUUGCGGCGGGGUUGACGGUAGCCGGGGAUGAAGCGCCGGCUAACUACGUG
rnacentral:rRNA from 1 species